AGGAAGAAGAAGCACAGAGGAAAGCUUGGAAUUAGAGAUAACAAUAUUCAGUUUACAGAUCGAUGUCUCCCUCUCCUCGAGCUAGGCUAUAUGUAGUUAUCAUUACAGGCCACAGUGGGCCGGCCCAUCGGGCCACUCACACACACACACACACGGGUGGGCACAGCCCAGGUCCUUGCAAUAGCUGCCAGGCUUGGUCGAUAUCCUGGAAGGGAAGCACCCUCUGUAUCCAGUUUCAGCAAUCCACACAUCUUCUCCUGGAAUUAAGAAACACAAUCAGAUGAAAAUGCCCUGUUUUUAUAAUCCAUGUCACACACAUCUUCUCACCAGUUAAGUAACUUCAAUGGCCCCCUCACAUACAUCACAUUAAUCUUUGCUUCCACAAUUCCACAAGCAACAGAGAAGAGAGACACAAAUGAUCUUCAGACUCAAACUACUCGCCACCAUCUCCUUUGUGUUACUUCAGACUGUAAGCACACGCCUGACUACCUAAGAUCUCAUUUCCUCCAUUUUCAACAUCUACAUUCUCACAUCAGAAACAAAUGUGCACCAUCACUACAUAGCUUGGUUAACUAAACUAAGCUGAUCUUCGACAGGGUAAAACGAAAAUGAAUAAUCUGAAAGCUAUCACAGUUUACCCCGACGAAGUAUGCAGGGCACCAAAUGCCCUAAACUCGCUGCCCUCGGCCAGGCCUUGCGUGACGGCGCGAAUGGGAGGGCUGGCCCCGCGAGACGGAUAGAUCCGACAUCGCCGCCGCCCCUGUGAGUGGGACGAGGGGGAUGGGAGGAGAGCAGAGUGUUCAAAUCCUCUAUACUCUUGCCG
rnacentral:lncRNA from 1 species